GGCUGGUUAGCUCAGCUGGUCAGAGUCGGGUACUUAUGAUGCCAAGGUUGUGGGUUCAAUCCCUACACUAGCCA